GACGGGGUGGCCGAGUGGUUAAGGCAAUGGAUUGCUAAUCCAUUGGGGUUUCCCCGCGUGGGUUCGAAUCCCAUCCCCGUCG
rnacentral:tRNA from 1 species